rnacentral:rRNA from 1 species
ACUUAAUGUCUCCGUUGGUGACCAGCGGAGGGUCAUUACCGAGUUUACAACUCCCAAACCCCUGUGAACAUACCUUAUGUUGCCUCGGCGGAUCAGCCCGCGCCCCGUAAAAAGGGACGGCCCGCCGCAGGAACCCUAAACUCUGUUUUUAGUGGAACUUCUGAGUAUAAAAAACAAAUAAAUCAAAACUUUCAACAACGGAUCUCUUGGUUCUGGCAUCGAUGAAGAACGCAGCAAAAUGCGAUAAGUAAUGUGAAUUGCAGAAUUCAGUGAAUCAUCGAAUCUUUGAACGCACAUUGCGCCCGCCAGUAUUCUGGCGGGCAUGCCUGUUCGAGCGUCAUUUCAACCCUCAAGCCCAGCUUGGUGUUGGGAGCUGCAGUCCUGCUGCACUCCCCAAAUACAUUGGCGGUCACGUCGAGCUUCCAUAGCGUAGUAAUUUACACAUCGUUACUGGUAAUCGUCGCGGCCACGCCGUUAAACCCCAACUUCUGAAUGUUGACCUCGGAUCAGGUAGGAAUACCCGCUGAACUUAAGCAUAUCAAA